UUAUUCACUGCGGAGAGCUGGCGUUAUUGACUUCCGCCAGUAACGUCAACGUUUCUCUAUUUUCUCUUCUUUUAUUUUCGUUGAAUUUAUCAGGCAAUUGGAUGAUCGAUUGUAUACUGUAAAAAUUAAAAGACCGAUCUUGAUUGAAAGUAAUAACUUAUCCGGAAACAUGGAAGACGACCCAGCCGCAGAUUUUUUGGCCAGAGAGCAGUCGGAACUUGCCGGUUUGGAAGACGAUAAUGAAGAUAAUCCCACAGAUUCAUCUGCCCCACAAGAUGAUGGUUUUGGUGCGUUUGAUGAUGAAGAACCAGCAGGUAGUCAGGAUGAUUUUGGAGGCGGUCUAGAUGAGUUUGAAGGGGGCUCCAAUAAUGGACAGUUUGAACAAUCUAACGAACCAUCUGAUUCGUAUUCUUCGAUAUCACAACAAGAUACAAUUAGGGUCGAACCAGAAAAAAUACGAGUAUGGCGAGAAGAACAGCAAGAUAGACUAGAGAAGAAAGAUAUGGAUGAAAUAAAGAAGAAAGAAGAAUGGAAGUCUGUAGCCAAGAAAGAAUUAGAAGAUUGGUAUAAACAUCAUUCUGAACAACUUUCUAAAGCAAGGGAAAAUAACAUAGCUGCAGAGAAGGCGUUUAUAAAAGAACGAGAUGAAUCUGUACCAGGUGAUGAGUGGGAGAAGAUUUGUCGUUUGUGUGAAUUCAACCCAAAACAUGCCAAAUCUACUAAAGAUAUUACAAGAAUGAGAUCAAUUUUAUUACAGUUAAAACAGACGCCACUAGUUCGUUAAUUGUCAUGGAGAUCAAUUAUCACAUACAUUUAAAUAAUUUCAUAUGUUUGGUGUUUUAGUUUGAAACAACAUGUUAAUAUAGAUUCAAUGAGUGAUUCAUUCUUCUUCACCAAUAGUAUUGUUUUAUGGUCGAGAGCGAGACAUUAAGUAAUAUAUUAUAACAACAAGAGGGCCGUAGGCCCGAGUGUUUUUAUAAUAUAUUACGCAAUGUCCUAAGUUCGACACCAUUAAACGACUUAAAAUACAGACACACCGCACAUGCUUUUACAGUGAAAUACAUCAAGCAAGUCCAAUAUUUCACUAGUAUAAAUAAUGUAUGAUUGGCAAGUUGCCCGUACGAUUAUUUCAAACAAUGGUACGCUAACAUCAAAGGGUGACAUCACCCCUAUUUAUAACCCACUCUCUGGACCUGUAUCAAAUUCAGAGUUAUCACCCACCAAGUGACAAACAUAUUAAAUUAUGUAUAUUAUAACUAUUAUGUAUAUGAGUAUAAUAUAUUAUAUGUAUUGUAAAUUGAUUGUUUUUAUCAUCAUGUAAAUAUAUUAACAGGUAGAACUAUGUCAUAUUCUAUGAUGAUUAACUACAUGUUUGUCUACAGUUUAGCUAGAACUAUAAUCAUGGCCAAUAUGUAUCAGGAUUCUUCUUAAAGAAAUCUUAUUUAUUAAAUGAACUUGAUAUCAGUCAGCAGUAUAUUAUUUUCAAACUAUUUUAAAAGAAUAUCAAAAAUUUGUUAGUUGUAUUCUGUGAAGAAUCAUCGGUUAAAUAUUUUAAUUUAUUUAUCAUGAAACAUUUAACUCUGGUUAUUUAUGUAUAAAUGAAAGAUAUUAAACAAAUUUAAUUGAAUAAUGUACGAGUUCACAGAUAUCGGUAUAUAAAUAAUAGAUACAUAGAACACUUAUUGAUAGAUAUAUAACAAACUGUCAUUCCAUAUAAAUAAACACUUGAAAAACC